UUCCAACCCGCUAGUUUUUGCAUGUGCAGA
rnacentral:piRNA from 1 species